rnacentral:snoRNA from 1 species
CUGCUUCUAAGGUUUCCUCAACAGAUGCAAGAGAAGGAAGGGUCCUUGCACUUUCUGUCUGUCUGGUUGUGGCAGCCAAGAUUGAAUGGGGGAAUACAGGA